rnacentral:rRNA from 1 species
AAGCAGCCAUUCAUUUAAAGAGUGCGUAACAGCUCACUAGUCGAGCGAUCUGGCGUGGAUAAUAAUCGGGCAUAAACGAUCUGCCGAAGCCGUGGAUGUCGCAAGACAUGGUAGGGGAGCAUUCCAUGCGGCGUCGAAGAUGAGGGAUGACCCUUGUUGGAGCGCAUGGAAAAGCAAAUGUAGGUAUGAGUAACGAUAAGGGGGGCGAGAAACCCCCCCGCCGAAAGACCAAGGUUUCCUGAUCAACGCUAAUCGGAUCAGGGUGAGUCGGGACCUAAGGCAAAGCCGAACGGCGCCGCCGAUGGAAGAAUGGGUUAAUAUUCCCAUACUGCCUCAUGGAGUGACGUGGAGACGGAGAAGUGACAGUCCUGCCGGCUGACGGAAUAGCCGGUUGAAGGGUGUAGAUAUUGAUUCCCGUAGGCAAAUCCGCGGGGAGAGUCGAACCUGAGAGUAUACGGAGCGCUUGCGCAACGUAAUAUGGACGUAACCAUGCUCCCGAGAAAAUCCGCUAAACUUAUCCAUGCGGCACCCGUACCGUAAACGGACACACGUGGUCGGGUUGAGAAUACUGAGGCGCUCGAGUGAU